GGGGCCGAUUAGGAUUCGACGCCGGUAACAAAACUUGAGGGGCAUGCCGAGCUGGUAGCAGAACUCGUAAAUUCGCUGCUGCAAACUUAUAGUUGCCAACGACGACAACUACGCUCUAGCUGCUUAAUGCGGCUAGCAGUCGCUAGGGGAUGCCUGUAAACCCGAAACGACUGUCAGAUAGAACAGGAUCGCCGCCAAGUUCGCUGUAGACGUAACGGCUAAAACUCAUACAGCUCGCUCCAAGCACCCUGCCACUCGGGCGGCGCGG
rnacentral:misc_RNA from 1 species